GGCCUAACACAUGCAAGUCGUGCGGUAACAGGAAGAAGCUUGCUUCUUUGCUGACGAGCGGCGGACGGGUGAGGAAGAUCUGGGGAUCUGCCUGAUGGAGGGGGAUAACUACUGGAAACGAUGGCUAAUACCGCAUAAUGUCGAAAGACCAAAGCGGGGGACCUUAGGGCCUCGCGCCAUCAGAUGAACCCAGACGGGAUUAGCCAGUUGGUGAGGUAACGGCUCACCAAAGCGACGAUCCCUAGCUGGUCUGAGAGGAUGACCAGCCACACUGGAACUGAGACACGGUCCAGACUCCUACGGGAGGCAGCAGUGGGGAAUAUUGCACAAUGGGGGAAACCCUGAUGCAGCCAUGCCGCGUGUGUGAAGAAGGCCUUCGGGUUGUAAAGCGC
rnacentral:rRNA from 1 species